AAGAGACAGCAGCAGCCACGGUAAUACGUAGGUCCCGAGCGUUGUCCGGAUUUAUUGGGCGUAAAGCGAGCGCAGGCGGUUAGAUAAGUCUGAAGUUAAAGGCUGUGGCUUAACCAUAGUACGCUUUGGAAACUGUUUAACUUGAGUGCAAGAGGGGAGAGUGGAAUUCCAUGUGUAGCGGCGAAAUGCGUAGAUAUAUGGAGGAACACCGGUGGCGAAAGCGGCUCUCUGGCUUGUAACUGACGCUGAGGCUCGAAAGCGUGGGGAGCAAACAGGAUUAGAUACCCCGGUAGUCCCUGUCUCUUAUACA
rnacentral:rRNA from 1 species